rnacentral:rRNA from 1 species
GACGAACGCUGGCGGCGUGCCUAAUACAUGCAAGUAGAACGCUGAAGGAGGAGCUUGCUUCUCUGGAUGAGUUGCGAACGGGUGAGUAACGCGUAGGUAACCUGCCUGGUAGCGGGGGAUAACUAUUGGAAACGAUAGCUAAUACCGCAUAAUAGUAGAUGUUGCAUGACAUUUGCUUAAAAGGUGCAAUUGCAUCACUACCAGAUGGACCUGCGUUGUAUAGCUAGUUGGUGAGGUAACGGCUCACCAAGGCGACGAUACAUAGCCGACCUGAGAGGGUGAUCGGCCACACUGGGACUGAGACACGGCCCAGACUCCUACGGGAGGCAGCAGUAGGGAAUCUUCGGCAAUGGACGGAAGUCUGACCGAGCAACGCCGCGUGAGUGAAGAAGGUUUUCGGAUCGUAAAGCUCGGUUGUAAGAGAAGAACGAGUGUGAGAGUGGAAAGUUCACACUGUGACGGUAUCUUACCAGAAAGGGACGGCUAACUACGUG